CACCACUUGCUUCGGCGGUACAAUACUGAAAGUGGAACUAUGCAGAGAAGAUUAGCAUGGCCUCUGCGCAAGGAUGACGCGCUAAAGUGUGAGGAAAAAUCGUGAAAC